rnacentral:lncRNA from 1 species
GAGACCAGCGCCCGCGCCUUGAACGGCGAGCCCAGACCGUUGACAUUCACUGUCAGCAGCCGAAGGUUCGCCGCGCCCACUGGUGGCCGCAUUAUGGGCCCCCGCCGGCCACGGCAGCGCCGUGGCGGUUGCGGUUGCUGUUGCUGCUGUGGCGAUUGCGGCGGUGGCCGCCACCCUGGCUGGGGGGCGCGCCGCCGCAGCUGGUGCUCAUGCUAGCGGCGCCUGGACGCAGCCCUCACGAAGCGCGACCUAUACGUCGCGUACAUCGACUUCUCAAACGCCUUCGGCACCAUAGACCACGACCGCUUGCUCACUGUAAUGCACCACCUCGGCCUCCCAACCGACUUCAUAGAAGUCGUGCGCAAUCUGUACUCUACCGCAAACACCACCAUCCGCACAGCCCACGGCCGCACAUCCCCCGUCCAGAUAAGGCGCGGCACCAUGCAAGGAGAUACCCUCUCACCACUGUUAUUUAUCAUCUUUCUGGAGCCACUCCUGAGGUGGCUCCACUACGGCGGCCGCGGCUACCGAUACGGCUGCCUCACAAACAGUGAGAAUGACCAACACAACUGUUCAUCACUAGGCUACGCGGAUGACCUGGCGCUAGCGGCCAACUCCCGUGAUAACCUUCGGUGCCAAACUGACAAGAUUGCGCGAUACGCCGCCUGGGGAGGUAUGCGCAUCAACCGCGACAAGAGCGCCUGCACAGGCAUCCUCCACAGCUUCGCAAGUGCCAACAGUUCAGACAAAAGCAUGAAAGGCCCCGCCUGCGAACGCACCCUCAAACGCUUCCUGGAUGGCCAAAUCCACAUUGGCUCUAACGUCAAGGAUGGAAAACUCACCAAGAUAGCCUUGCCGUACGUGUCCCCACAUAAAUCAUACCGCUAUCUCGGCGUGGAAAUCACCAUGACGAUGGACUGGCGCCCUCAACUUAAGGCGGUUAAAACCGACCUAACUGACGCUGGCGAAGAGCUGAGCAAGUACAAAAAACUCCCUCGCCAGUGCUACAUGCUCAUCAAACAAUGCCUCAAAGCAAAAGUGGCUUACUCCCUCCCAGCCAUGGCAUACACGCAACACGAUAUCCGGGCACUUGACGCCCAAAUCGCGGGUAUCACCCGUCGGUGCGUCGGCCUACCACGCGACUGCGCCACCCGCGCCAUCCUCCUGCCUGCCGAGAUGGGUGGCCUAGGAAUAGGCUCGCUCCGCGAAGAGUAUGUACAACGCGCCUCCAGACUGCUCAUGAUUUCGCUGAACGAUAAUGGCAGGCUAGGCGUAAUUACGCGCCGCCUCCUCCACCUCCAAGCGGCGCAGGCGGGGAGCGACCUCCCGCUGCACGACAUGCGAAGAGCGGGGAAAUUUUUUGUCACCCUGAAACAACUCACCCUCCUUCAAGACCAUGACCUGCUGGCCAUGCUACAAGGCAAGGAAUUUGCAGCCGCCCUACCAACACUAGUGUCCAAACUCCGAGCCGCUGAGGCGAGCACGCCCGCUUACCUGCGAGCUGACUGGAUCAGCCCCCUGACAAUAGACCUUGGCUUGAACCUGGCCGACCUGGUGGACGCAAACACGGGACGGCACAUCAUUGACACUGUACAGCUGGAUCGGCGAUUUCCAAAAGGCCGGGUAAAAGACCGGCACAAGCGCGCCCUGAACCGCUUCACCCACGCCCUAUGCAAACUUGCAGACACACAACCUAAGCCGACCGCCGGUACUAAACCCCUCCCCCUGCACAACCGAGCCCUACCCAAUGGUGUCUCCAAGACAGACCUUCGGACAGCUGGCGACCUGCCUAAACCUAUACCCCAACGCACUCUCACCUCUCUACUGGAGCGAUGGCAGCAGUCGACACCUCCGAGGCCCUCCGGAGCCCCGGCGCGGCCGUCUUUGGAAGUCCUGCAGGCCAAACCAAAGCCAACGGCAAAGCAACGCCACAAUCACUUCAUCAAAUACGACACACGGACACGCAAUCCCGCGGUCGAGGCCAAUGACUCUGCUCUGCCCGGAUCCACCCUCCAUUACCCUUCCGACCCCACGAGGGACCUAACUUUCUAUAUGCACGCAGCACGGGAGUUUACCCCGCUCGUCAAACAAUGCAAAACCCUCGGCACCACACGAUGGACCGGCUCCUGGCGGAUCCCGCCAAGGCGGGUCCCAGCCAGCCCAUGCCGAGGCGGCGGGCCCCCACACCCACGCUACCCACGAACUACUGGCCUCCCGCCCCUACCAAGCAGUCGCUGCACCUGCUCACCAGCGGCUCGAGCUACCAGACGGGUGCCCCACCGCAGCCACAUCACCCACGCACACGAAACCGCCCAACCGCCGCAAAAGCAGCGCUCGCCCCACCCGCUGUCCACACACGCACCACGCAGCGCCGGCGAGGGGCCUCCCACCGGCAGCCGCGCAGAGAGGGAACCGCGCGACCGCGCAGCCAAGCGCCAGACCUGCAUGGCGCAAAGCCAGAGACAUAGCAUUAAAUGGCGCACUGCCCCAGUCCGACGCUGGGAAGCUAGCGGCACAACACAUCACAGCCCACCUGGCCAACCGUGAUGACAUCAUUGCCGCGGUUGUCAGCGGGCCCAUGACACAUAAAACCAAUGCCCCACCACCCAAGAGAAAACGGAAACUGGACCCGCCGCCAGAAGAACCCCCCUGGGCUGACCGCUGCCGCUACAAAGUUCGCUGGCAACCAACCCUCACCACGAACGGUAUACUCAGCGCCUAUAAGAUACAGAACUACGACGCCAUCAACGCCACAAAACCCUCAUGUAUGCUAUGGGGACAGGGCAUCCGCCGGUUUAUGGCCCAGGUGCACUGGGCCGACACGGAAGACCCGCUCUCCUCCCUCUCACAGAACCCCGGCUGGGCGGCCGCCCUGGCACGGUACACCCUUGCCCAAGCUGAAGCACCCCCCGACCCCACCCCACCCCCUGCGCUUGAUACCCACCUCACCAGCAAGCAGCGCCAGGGCCGGUGGCGGGACCCAGCACCCAGCAUGGCGGCACGAAAACGUGCCACUCUCCGGUACUGCACCAUUGACACCAACUCCUGCAACCCAGACACAGACAUUCAUCCGACAGGUCAGUAUUGUAUCCAGUUGGGUACACGAACACCCGGUCUAGCCGCCGGCACGGCGACCGACCCUGACCCUACCGCCAGAGUAUACGGACCCGACGGCCGAUGCGUUGGAUCCAUCUCGGCUACUCGCCUCGCCCUCCUCCACGCCCGCUAUAAGGCGCUCAACCCCACCCAACCCCCGAAAGCUUUCGCCGCCGCCGUAGCCUCCCUGCUCACACGAUAUCGCCCCAGUAAAUGCCACAAAGAGAGCUCUACCAACCCAGCGCACGAGGUCACCCUCUGUCCAGACCUAAUGUCCACCCUUACCUCCCAUCUUAAGUUCACAACAGAAGCAUUUGCCUCCCCCCUCAACGCUACCGGCAACAUACCGGCCUACUACACGGCACACCCCGAGGACGCAGUGUUCGGGGCCGCCCUCGACUGCUACAGCCGACUCCUACACGAUGUGUCAUUCCUCCACCCACCACCACAGCCCGAACAAACCAACCUGGCAAUGGCCUGGGCGGUCGCCAGCGCUGAGGCAGCGGCAGCGCAAGCGCCACAUUUGUCAGUCGUGGUCGUGCCGUAUGGCGAAACCAGUGGUUACACGGCCUGGCUCCAGCACCCACUGGUCCACGCCCUGGGACAUAUCCGACCGGCACACACGUGGGCCGCCAUGGCCUCCGGCCUAGGUCAGCCGCUGGAGCUCCCCGCCCACCGGCGCGGACUCCAUCUCCUGUGUGUGGCAAACGAGCCCGGCCGGUUAAUUCUCAACACGGCCCUGGGGAAUGGACUAGCAGCGGCGCUGUCUGGCGCCCUUGGACACACUCCACAGCCUGCCGCCCGCAAGCCCUUGCCGAACCCAGACGCACCUAAACCGUGGCCCAAAACCCCUCGGAAGCUGGAGCGUCGCCUCCGCACCCACACCACCCCGACACCCCUACCACAGCCCCCCCCGGCCGCCCCCACACCCCCAACCCCCACGGAGCUCGCAGCCCUCUACCCCAUAACCAUUCCUCUCGCACACACGUGUGGCUCCGCCGUCUUCACCGACGGGAGCAAGGUCCCACACUCGAGCGACUACACAGGCCUGGGAGCAGCGAUCUGGGACGAAACUGAAAACCGCACGACGCAUAUAGACGAAGAUAUCGCUUUUGACACUCCCCUUAGCACUAUUCUCAGAUGCGAGUCGUCGGCUAUACGCAUGGCACUUAGCCUCAACCUUGACUUGCCCCACCUGCGGAUUUACACCGACAGCCUUGUCAGCCUGCUUAUCCUUCGCCGUGCCAUUCUGGAGCCCGAGUCGCUACACGUCAGCAAACACCGCGAAAUGUUCGGGGCCAUCACUGACAUACUGGCCCAACGUGGGUUGGCAGGUCUGAAGACAUACUUCUAUCACGUCCGUUCACACCAAGCAGAUACGUGCGUAGGAAAUCAGAAAGCCGAUGAGGCGGCACAGGCAGUGGCGACUAGAGAAACCCCGCCGGACGCGGUGGAGACCUUGUACUCGCACCCGUUCGAGACACUAGAGGGCUGGAUUGCUAAGAGAGAAACUGUGGAGCACAAUGGCAACGUAGAGGAACGGUUACGAUACGCCAACAACCUCAAUCGCGACCUGAAGAAAAUGGCCCGGCCCUCCACGGCCCAGGGAUACACAAAACAGGCUUAUACGCAGAACUGUGGGACGCUACCAGGCAGCACAUUGACGCGAGAUAUGGACUAAACCUGUUCGAUGGCUUCCCGUUCGAAGAAGCACGCUGUGCCUUCAAAUACCGAUGGGGGCUCUCCUGGAACGCCAAGCGCGCCGCCCGUGUAAAACACCCCAUACCCGGCUGCGCGGGGGGCGAAUGCCCGCUGUGCCGAUGCGACGACGGUGGCACGCACACCCUGGGCGGC